rnacentral:tRNA from 1 species
UGCGGGGGUAACCAAGUGGUCAACGGUGGCAGACUCAAGAUCUGCUCGCGCAGGCGUUCGCGGGUUCGAAUCCCUCCCCCCGCAU